UACGUAGGGUGCGAGCGUUAAUCGGAAUUACUGGGCGUAAAGCGUGCGCAGGCGGUUUUGUAAGUCAGAUGUGAGAUCCCCGGGCUCAACCUGGGAACUGCGUUUGAAACUACAAGGCUAGAAUGUAGCAGAGGGGGGUAGAAUUCCACGUGUAGCAGUGAAAUGCGUAGAGAUGUGGAGGAAUACCAAUGGCGAAGGCAGCCCCCUGGGUUAACACUGACGCUCAUGCACGAAAGCGUGGGGAGCAAACAGG
rnacentral:rRNA from 1 species